UACGUAGGGGGCAAGCGUUGUCGGAAUCAUUGGGCGUAAAGCGCGCGUAGGCGGCCCGGUAAGUCCGUUGUGAAAGUCAAAGGCUCAACCUUUGAACGCCGAUGGAUACUGCCGGGCUAGAGUCCGGAAGAGGCGAGUGGAAUCCUGGUGUAGCGGUGGAAUGCGCAGAGUAUCAGGAGGAACACCGGUGGCGAAGGCGGGUCUCUGGGCCGAUGACUGACGCUGAGGAGCGAAAGCGUGGGUAGCAAACAGGAUUGAGAAACCC
rnacentral:rRNA from 1 species